rnacentral:lncRNA from 1 species
UUCCAUUACCGGCCAGCUACACUUAAGGGACCAUUCAACAGUGGUAGGGAGGGAAGAGCCACAGCUCUGGAGAGCACUCUUUUCUUCUGGUCCGUUAUUUUCCCUGAAGAGACCCCUGACGCCUAAAGAGACAGGGUAUCGCUCUGUUGCCCAAGCUGUAGUGUAGUGGCACAAUCACAGCUGACGACAGACUUGACCCCCCAGGCUCAAGCGAUCCUCCCACCUCAGCCUCCAGAGUAGCUUAGACUACAGCCCUGUCUCAGUGUGGCCUGCUCCCAGAACUCUUUCUCCUGACUUCUGAUUUCACCAAGAGGACAUGGACUCAGAAGAACGAAGACAGAAACACAAAGACACAGGAACAGCAACCAAGCCCCUCUUCUCCAGGCAAUCAUCUCACUUCAACUGGCAUAGACCCCUUAGGGGUGUGGACACUGUCUGAAAGUAUCUGGAGAGACCAAGUUUCAGCAGCCACUAAGCUGUCAAGGCUCUUUAAAAAUCUGAUUCCUGGCCAGGCAGGGGGACGCACACCUGUCAUCCCAGUACUUUGGGAGGCU